rnacentral:rRNA from 1 species
AACGAACGCUGGCGGCAUGCCUAACACAUGCAAGUCGAACGAGACCUCCGGGUCCAGUGGCGCACGGGUGCGUAACGCGUGGGAACCUGCCCUUAGGUUCGGAAUAACUCCCCGAAAGGGGUGCUAAUACCGGAUAAUGUCUUCGGACCAAAGAUUUAUCGACUUUGGAUGGGCCCGCGUUCGAUUAGCUAGUUGGUAGGGUAAAAGCCUACCAAGGCGACGAUCCAUAGCUGGUCUGAGAGACUGAUCAGCGACACUGGGACUGAGACACGGCCCAGACUCCUCCGGGAGGCAGCAGUGGGGAAUAUUGGACAAUGGGCGGAAGCCUGAUCCAGCAAUGCCGCGUGAGUGAUGAAGGCCUUAGGGUUGUAAAGCUCUUUUACCCGGGAUGAUAAUGACAGUACCGGGAGAAUAAGCUCCGGCUAACUCCGUG